rnacentral:lncRNA from 1 species
GCCCACUUCCUGUUUACGGGACGGAAGGUGCGGGGCGAGGCUGGGUGCCAGGGAGACGCGGAGGGUCCGCGGGAAGGGGUGUCAGGAGCCGAGCGACCCUUCGCCCGCUAAACAGGAUGCUCGCACCUCCCGCGCGCGGCGGCCUGGACCCCCGACCUCCGACACGGCGUCCACGUCCCUCUGUUCUUCAGUCCCUGCUGAGGUGCGGCGGACAUCCGAGAAGGGGUCUCGACCCCCUGGAUGCGGACCCUAGCCCCGAGCCCUCACUGCGCCCUGGAAGCGUCGCUCCCAGGACCCCUGUUUCAAGGAAGGGGACGCGCAGACACCGGGCGGGGUCUCCUGCCCAAUCACUCCAUCAAGGGCUGAGCCAGGAUUCAUUCUGGUCAGGUCUCCGGGCCCUGCUCUUGUCUUGGGGGCACUAGAAUUGCUUCUGUUCUCCCUGUGAGUGAUCUCCAGGAGCUAGCGCCUCGCUGGGCGUCUGCCAUCCCUGCCACGGGGCCUCAGCUUGCUGGUCUUGGCCCCCACAGGCCCCUCUCAUCGCCAUCCCCUUUGCACUGUCAUCCUGGGAACCCAAGGGCUGUGCAUCCAUGACAGUUUACAGUUCCUCCCAAAUGUAAGCACCUGUGAUCCUCACCCAGUUGGUCACUUCGGACUUCUGCUGCCUCUACUCACACCACCCCCUUACGCUCCCCACCCAGAGCUCCUUCUUGCCUCACCCCUAGUGUGUCCAUGCUCCAACACCGGGUUUAAGACCACCCUCCCCAGGAGACAUUGAAUUUACCACGACUCCCUCACUGUUUUGUUCUUUGCUCUCAUGUAAUAAUCCGAUCUGUGUGUAUCGGGACAUUCUGCCGUGUGUGUGCCCUGUAUAUAAUCCGCUCCAUGUGUGCUGGGUCAUUCCACUGUGUGUGUGUCUGUGUCCUAUAUAUUGAUGUGGAUCAAGGCUGCCCCAGGAAGAGAAGCCCAAGGCGUCCUGGCCUACAUGCAGAUCUAUACGACCCGAUUCAUGUCUAAAGUUAUACGGCCAUGCAAUAACCAGACCCCACCUGCACUGAUACCAUUUAAUGAUUUUUUACAUCGUCUUUCCUUUGUCUAGUAGAAAAUAAGUCACGUACCCAUGCCUUAUAAAAUUAGCCCUACCCUCAAGACAUUGCAGCCCUUCACUGCCCUGGGGUGCUGUCCCCAUGCCUGCAGCCCUUCACUGCCCAGGGGUCCUGUCCCCAUGCCUGCAGCCCUUCACUGCCCAGGGGUCCUGUCCCCAUGCCUGCAGCCCUUCACUGCCCACGGGUCCUGUCCCCAUGCCUGCAGCCCUUCACUGCCCACGGGUCCUGUCCCCAUGCCUGCAGCCCUUCACUGCCCAGGGGUCCUGUCCCCAUGCCUACAGCCCUUCACUGCCCACGGGUCCUGUCCCCAUGCUAUUCUCUGAAUAAAGGAGCACUACCACCAGA